UAGCAAAAAUGUGAGCAAAUAAGUAUGUUGGUGGUAAACAGUUUAUAAGACUGAUCUUCAGUAUACAUCUGUCAAAGCUGAAGGAUCUCUUUGGUAGUCUGUUCUGUGAAGCAGAGACUCAAUCCUGGACAUACCCAAAGGUCCAUUCAGGUCAUGCUUAACAGCUGUACUGGGGGGGAUCAGGAACCAAAGUUUGACAGGUAACUGAGAGGAAGGGAACAAAUAAAGAGAAACACCACUUCCCUCCCAGGCAGAGCUGUCCUAGAGAAAGAAGGUGAAGUUGGAUCAAUGUCCAGAACCAAAAGGGAAACUGAGUCCCGGUCAAAAGUGAAAAUCCUCGAGCCUCUGAUAAAAAAGAACCAUGAAUAGAGGACCAGCCUUGGAAUCAAGGAAACCUGUAUCCGAGUUCUCAUUCAGGGUUACUCUGCCUAACAAAGAAAAUUCCAGAGUUUCCUAUGCAACUCCUGCCUCUCCCCUAUAGAUCUUCCAAAGACUUUAUCUUCCUUCUAGUCUUGUUCUGUAUUGCUGGGCAGCUUGUUAACCUGAUACAGCUUAUUGCAGGCUAAUGUAUUAGCAGAAAGCAAAGGUAGAGCCCUUCUCUCUUCUAUUAGGCAAACACAUUUGCAUUUUAAUAGCAGCAUUCAAAUGAUGGAGCCAAUAUCUUAACUCAAAGGAAUAAUCCUAAUGGUAGGAAUUUGGGACAGGUUAAGUAGGAGAGGAGAUAAUUUUCUGGUAGGCAAAUCUUUAAUGUUUAUUAAAUAACAUUGGGCUAGCCCUUGUAACAGAAUAAGAUCAGUCAUGUUAAAUUAUUUGUAGGCAUAGGUGGAAAUACACACAUA
rnacentral:lncRNA from 1 species